CCCUUAGAUGUUCUGGGCCGCACGCGCGCUACACUGUUCGACGCAGCGAGUCUUAACCUUGACCGAAAGGUUUGGGUAAUCUUCAGCAAAGUCGAACGUGAUGGGGAUCGAUCAUUGCAAUUAUUGAUCGUGAACGAGGAAUUCCUAGUAAGUGCAAGUCAUCAGCUUGCGCUGAUUACGUCCCUGCCCUUUGUACACACCGCCCGUCGCUACUACCGAUUGAAUGGUUUAGUGAGAUCUCUGGAUUGACGCUGGCUAGGGGGCGACCCUUGGCCAGACUGUUGAGAAACUGCUCAAACUUGAUCAUUUAGAGGAAGUAAAAGUCAUAACA
rnacentral:rRNA from 1 species